rnacentral:rRNA from 1 species
AUUGAACGCUAGCGGGAUGCUUUACACAUGCAAGUCGAACGGCAGCGCGGACUUCGGUCUGGCGGCGAGUGGCGAACGGGUGAGUAAUGUAUCGGAACGUGCCCAGUAGCGGGGGAUAACUACGCGAAAGCGUAGCUAAUACCGCAUACGCCCUACGGGGGAAAGCAGGGGAUCGUAAGACCUUGCACUAUUGGAGCGGCCGAUAUCGGAUUAGCUAGUUGGUGAGGUAACGGCUCACCAAGGCAACGAUCCGUAGCUGGUUUGAGAGGACGACCAGCCACAGUGGGACUGACACACGCCCCAGACUCCUACGGGAGGAAGAAGUGGGGAAUUUUGGACAAGGGGGGCAACCCGGACCCAGCAACCCCGGGUGGGUGAGGAAGGCUUUGGGGUGGAAAAACAUUUUUGGGAGGAAAGAACCGCGGGGGACAAAACCCCGGAGGAAGGGACGUUACCUAAAAAAAAAGCCCCGGAAAACUACGGG